rnacentral:lncRNA from 1 species
AUGGUGAACUUCGCAGUACAUCAGAUCUGUGCCAUCAUGAACAAGAAAGCCAACAUCCAAAACAUGUCAGUCAUGGCUCAUGUGGACCAUGGCAAGUCCACGCUGACCGACUCCCUUGUGUGCAAGGCGGGUACCAUUGCCUCCGCUGGAGCUGAGGAGACACACUUCACUGACACAAGGAUUAAGCAAGAACGCCGCUGCGUCACAAUCAAGUCCACUGUCAUCUCCCUCUUCUAUGAGCUCUCUGAGAAUGUCCUGAACUUCAAGAAGCAGAGGAAGGAUGGCUCGGGCUUCCUUAUCAACCUUAUCAACACUCCAGGCUACGUGAAUUUCUCUUCAGAGGUGACAGCUGCCUUUGCGUGUCACCGAUGGAGCUCUGGGUGGUGGUGAACUGUGCGUCUGGCAUGUGUGUACAGGCAGAAACAGCGCUAUGACAGGCUAUCCUGAGCGCAUCAAGCCCAUGCUGAUGAUGAAUAAGAUGGACCGAGCCCUGCUUGAGCUGCAGCUGCAGCCUCAGGAGCUCUACCAGACCUUCCAGUGCAUCAUGGACAAUGUCAAUGUCAUCAUCUCUACCUAUGGCAAGAGCGAGAGUCGGCCCAUGGGCAAUAUCAUGGUUAGCCCUGUCCUGGGUACUCUAGGCUUUUUGGUUCUGGUCUGUGUGGCUGGGCCUUCACUCUGAAGCAGUUUGCAGAAAUGUACGUAGCCAAGUUUGCAGCCAAGGAUGAGGACCAGCUGGGGGCAGCUGAGCCGGCCAAGAAAGUAGAAGACCUGAUGAAGAAGCUAUGGGGAGACUGGUACUUUGACUGGGCCAAUGGCAAAUUCAGCAAGUCAGCCAACAGCCUAGACAGGAAGAAACUUCCCUGUAUGUACCCUCUGCCAGCUUAUCCUAGACUCCGUCUUCAAGGUGUUCGAAGCCAUCAUGAACUUCAGGAAGGAGGGAGACAGCCAAGCUGAUCAAAAAGCUGGACAGCGAGGACAAGGACAAGGAGGCUGUGGUGCACCACUGACUGCCCGAGGGGAUGCCCUGCCGCAGAUGAUCACCAUCCACUUGCUGUCCCCUGUCACUGCACAGAAAUACCAUUGUGAGCUGCUGUACGAGGGGCCACCUGACGAUGAGGCCACCAUGGGUAUUAGGAGCUGUGACCCCAAAGGCCCCCUUAUGAUGUACAUUUGCAAGAUGGUGCCAACCUCUGAAAAGGUCACUUUUUUUGGUAGAGUGUUCUCUGGGGUGGUGUCCACGGGCCUGAAGGUCCAGAUCAUGGGCUCCAACUACACACCUGGGAAGAAAGAGGACCUAUAACCCGAAACCUAUCCAGAGAACCAUUCUGAUGAUGGGCCGCUAGGUGGAGCCGAAUGAGGAUGUGCCCUGUGGAAACAUUGUGGGGCUGGUCGGAGUGGACCAGUUCCUUGUGAAGACAGGGACUAUCAUUACCUUUUAAAAAAAAGAUUUAUUUAUUUAUUAUAUGUAAGUACACUGUAGCUGUCUUCAGACACUCCAUAAGAGGGCAUCACAUUUAGUUACAGAUGGUUGUGAGCCACCAUGUGGUUGCUGGGAUUUGAACUCUGGACCUUCGGAAGAGCAGUUGGCGCUCUUAACCACUGAGCCAUCUCGCCAGCCCCUAUCAUUACCUUUGAGCAUGCUCACAAUAAACACGUGAUGAAGUUCAGCAUCUGCCCUGUUGUGCAGUGCAUCACUGAGUAGUCUGGAGAGCACAUCAUUGCUGGAGCCAGUAAGCUGCAUCUUAGAGAUCUGCCUCAAGGACCUGGAGGAGGACUGUGCCUGCAUCUUCAUAAAGAAAUCUGACCCUUCAUGUCCUACUGGGAGACUAUCAGUGAGGAGUCCAACUUUCUGUGUCUGUCAAAGUCCCCCAACAAGCACAACCGUCUGUACCUGAAGACCAGGUCCUUCCCUGGUGGCCUGGCUGAGGACAUCGAUAGGGGGAGGUUUCUGUCUGCCCGCUAGGAGCUCAAGGCUCAUGCCCACUACCUUGCUGAAAAGUGUGACUGGGAUGUUGCUGAACACAAGAUCUGGUGCUUUGGACCUGAUGGCACUGGCCCCAGCAUGCUCACUGACAUCACCAACGUUGUGCAGUACUUGAAUGAGGUCAAGGACGGUGUGGUCGCUGGCUUCCAGUGGGCUACUAAGGAGCGCUCUUUGUGAGAACAUGCGUAGUAUGCGAUUUGAUGUCCAUGAUAUGACCCUGCAUGUAGAUGCCACUGGGGAGGUGGCCAUAUCAUUCCCGCAGCACGCCCCUGUCUCUAUGCCAGUGUGCUGACUGCACAGCCCCGCCUCAUGGAGCCUAACUAUCAAGUUGAGAUCCAGUGUCCUGAGCAAGUGGGGAGUGGCAUCUAAGGUGUCCUGAACAGAAAGCGUGGCCAUGUAUUUGAGGAGUCCCCGGUAACCUGUCCCAUGUUCAUGGUCAAGGUAUACCUGCCUGUCAAUGAGUCCUUUGACUUCGCUGCCAACCCUCGAUCCAACACUGGUGGCCAGGCCUUCCCCCAGUGUGUGUUUGACAACAGCAGCCGCCCCAGCCAAGUGGUAACUGAGACCCUCAAGCGCAAAGGCCUGAAGGAGGGCAUCCCAGCACUGGACAACUUCCUGAACAAA